UAACACGUGGGUAACCUGCCUGUAAGAUUGGGAUAACUCCGGGAAACCGGAGCUAAUACCGGAUAACAUUUCGAACCGCAUGGUUCGAAAUUGAAAGAUGGUUUCGGCUAUCACUUACAGAUGGACCCGCGGCGCAUUAGCUAGUUGGUGAGGUAACGGCUCACCAAGGCAACGAUGCGUAGCCGACCUGAGAGGGUGAUCGGCCACACUGGGACUGAGACACGGCCCAGACUCCUACGGGAGGCAGCAGUAGGGAAUCUUCCGCAAUGGACGAAAGUCUGACGGAGCAACGCCGCGUGAACGAUGAAGGCCUUCGGGUCGUAAAGUUCUGUUGUUAGGGAAGAACAAGUACCAGAGUAACUGCUGGUACCUUGACGGUACCUAACCAGAAAGCCACGGCUAACUACGUGCCAGCAGCCGCGGUAAUACGUAGGUGGCAAGCGUUGUCCGGAAUUAUUGGGCGUAAAGCGCGCGCAGGCGGUUUCUUAAGUCUGAUGUGAAAGCCCACGGCUCAACCGUGGAGGGUCAUUGGAAACUGGGGAACUUGAGUGCAGAAGAGGAGAGUGGAAUUCCACGUGUAGCGGUGAAAUGCGUAGAGAUGUGGAGGAACACCAGUGGCGAAGGCGACUCUCUGGUCUGUAACUGACGCUGA
rnacentral:rRNA from 2 species